AAUAUGGUAGAAGUGGGAAUUGAAGCCAGGUGUGCCUCACUCCAAAGGUUACACCCCUGCUGCCCUGACAAGUAACAAUGGGCCUCUUCCAGUGAAAUGCUUCCGUGGUUGCCUGCUGCUCUUGGUUUUGGUGUCAUCUUGUUUUACGACUUCCCUGCACAUCCUGAUUUGAGGACAAGAACGAACGAGAAGAUUUAAAGUGAAAAAGGACAUUGAGUUGAUUUGAAUGAGAAAUAUAUCUGCAAGGAGAUAGAGCCUUGCUUUGUUCUCUAGGCUGGAGCAUGCUGGCGUGAUCACGGCUCACUGCAGACUCAAGCAACCCUCCAACCUCAGUCUUCU
rnacentral:lncRNA from 1 species